UCCCGCAGGAGCUGUUGAAUCAGCACGCUGAAGAAGUACAGAGACUGGUGAACAAGCUGAUAAACUCAGACAGCAGCAAAAACUUCAAGAUCUAAAAUAGGCCCGGGCUUUUUUUAAAGUUACUGACAUGACGCUGGUCCUCACUUUUUGGAGUCUACUCCCUCAUUUCCAGGCUGAACAGGAAGCUGUACAACAACCGGUCUGACAAGUUACAAGUGGUGGACCUACAUCAUCUAGAUGUACAGGUUCGUUCAUUUACUGAUUGAUAGCUAUUUUAAUGAACUUAUUUGUUUAGAUUUAUGACGUGUUUCUCAAUUGACAAUUUUAUACCCUCGAGAUAAUACAAAAUUCUAUGAAGGAUACAUUUUUAAUGUUCAAUUACAUAAAU